GGGGGAUAAAUUAAUAAAGUAUAAAUAAUAAAAAAAUUUUUAAUAUUAAUAUAAUUUAAUGGGGGUUAAAGUAUAUUUAAUAGAAAAAAUAAUAAAUAUUUAUAGAAAAUUAGUAUUGUGAAAGAAAUUUGAAAUAUAUUGAAAAUAAAUUUAUGUAAAAGUAGAUUUAAUUUAUUGUAUCUUGUGUAUCAGAGUUUAUUAAUAAUGUUUUUUAUUUAAAAAUUUUCUCGAAUUUAAAAGAGAUAAUUAAUUAUUAAAGUUAAUGUUGAAUAAUUAUUUUAAAUAAUUAAUUUGAAAUGAGAUGUUAAUCGUUUUUAAAUAUAUCUAGUUUUUUUAGAAAAAAAUUUAAUUUUAAAUUUUAAAAAAAAAAUAUAAUUUUAAUUAAUUAAAAUUAUAUUUUUAAAAUUAAAUAUUUUAAGGGAUAAGCUUUAAAAUAAAUUUUUAUAAUAAAUUUUAAUUAUAAUUAAAAUUUUUAAAAUUUAUAUUUUUUAUAAAUUAUAGUUUUUUAUAAAUAAUUUUAAUUAAUAUAAAAUUUAAAAUUUAUUUAAUUUUUUAUUAAAAAAUAAUUUAUAAUAAUUUAAAUUUAGAUAUAAUGAUAAAAUUAGUAUAUAAUUAAAUUAAAAUAAUUUAUUAUUUGAUAAUUUAAUAAAAGGAAUUCGGCAAAAAUUUAUAUUCACUUGUUUAUCAAAAACAUGUCUUUUUGAAUUAAUAAUAUAAAGUCUAAUCUGCCCACUGAUAAUAAAUUAAAGGGCUGCAGUAUUUUGACUGUACAAAGGUAGCAUAAUCAUUAGUCUCUUAAUUGGUGACUUGUAUGAAAGAUUUGAUGAGAUAUAAACUGUCUCUUUUUAAUUUUUAGAAUUUAAUUUUUUAGUUAAAAGGCUAAAAUAUAUUUAAAAGACGAGAAGACCCUAUAGAGUUUAAUAUUUAAUAUUUAUAUUAAAAAUUUUAUAUGAAAUUUGUAAUUUUAAUAUGGGUAAAUAUUUUGUUGGGGUGAUAAAAAAAUUAAAAUAACUUUUUUUAUAAUUUUACAUUAAUAAAUGAAUAAGUGAUCCGUAAUUUACGAUUAUAAGAAAAAAUUACCUUAGGGAUAACAGCGUAAUUUUUUUUUUUAGUUCAAAUAAGAAAAAGAGUUUGCGACCUCGAUGUUGGAUUAAGGUAAAAUUUAAAUGCAAAAGUUUAAAAUUUUUGAUCUGUUCGAUCAUUAAAAUCUUACAUGAUCUGAGUUCAAACCGGUGUAAGCCAGGUUGGUUUCUAUCUUUAGAUUAAUAAAAUAUUUUAGUACGAAAGGAUUAAAUAUUUAAAAUAAUUUUAUAUUUUAUUAAGAAUUUUAAUAAUAGAUAAUAAUAGUUAUUUAAAUAUA
rnacentral:rRNA from 1 species